GAGAGGUCGGGCUUGCUUAACUGAAGCCUCGACAGUGAAUCUGAGUACCUAGUGGGCCAUUUUUGGUAAGCAGAACUGGCGCUGUGGGAUGAACCAAACGUCGAGUUAAGGGGCCUAAAUGAACGCUCAUCAGAUCCCAUGAAAGGUGUUGGUUGCUAUAGACAGCAGGACGGUGGCCAUGGAAGUCGGAAUCCGCUAAGGAGUGUGUAACAACUCACCUGCCGAAGCAACUAGCCCUGAAAAUGGAUGGCGCUCAAGCGUUCUCCCGAUACUAGACCGUCGGGGCAGUACCGGCCAGGGUAGCUUGCGCUCCCCGGUCUCGAAGCCCCGACGAGUAGGAGGGUCGCAGCGGUGAGCGUCGAAGGGACUCCGGCGUGAGCCGGCCUGGAGCCGCCGCUGGUGCAGAUCUUGGUGGUAGUAGCAAAUACUCGAGAGAGACCCUAGAGGGCUGAUGUGGAGCAGGGUUCCAUGUGAACAUCAGUUGGACAUGGGUCAGUCGGUCCUAAGUCCAUGGCGAAGGCCAGUUCCUACCGUGCAGGCAAAUGUCAAAACGUGUCGUGUUGCGAGUGCGUGGUGGUGGUGGGGUUGGGGGCGGAGAGCCGUGUUCAGGAUGUACCAACCACCGAGCUCUCUUACCCUCCCUUUCUUCCCUCCCACGCCCUCCUCCUCCUCACGUGUGCGUGAUGUGUCCAAAGAAUACUCUUCUGGACGAAAGGGAUUCCGGUAAAUAUUCUGGAACUUGGCUUCGGAGAUGCUCGGUGCCCUCGGUCGGUUACGGCCGGCCUUGGGAGUCACACUGUGGCAUAAACCCCAGUAAUGGGAUCAAAGCCCGCAUCCGUCGGCGGUGGCCCAGGGAAGAGUUUUCUUUUCUGUUUAAGACAUCUUUAGCCCUGGAAGCAACUUGCUAGGAGAGAGGGCUGUGGUACAAGGUAUCGCUGAUGUUCGUAGAGCGCUGCGGUUCUUGCAGCGUCCUGCGUGCCACCGUCGUCCCUUAAAGAUGCUGUGGAGGGUGUGAGUUUCUCGCACCCACAAUUUUCGAGCCAAGCCGUACCCAUAACCGCACCCGGUCUCCUAGGUGUCCAGCCUCUAGUC
rnacentral:rRNA from 1 species